CCCAGGGCGUGGACAGUUUAUGACGGUGAACCAGACCCUGAGCUGAAAAUAUCUUGUAGGCAGAUAUCACCAUUUAUACCUCAUAAUUAUCGAGAGAGCAGCCUUCCCACAUCUGUAUUUGUGUACACUUUGGUGAAUACCGGGAAGGAGAGGGCAAAAGUCAGC